UCCCUGGUGGUCCAGUGGUUAAGACUCCUGCUUCCAGUGCAGGGGGUAUGGCUUUGAUCCCUGUUUGGGGAA
rnacentral:tRNA from 1 species